UGCUAAUCCUAGAAAAUUCUUCGUAGUCCGGAUUGGAGUCUGCAACUCGACUCCAUGAAGUCGGAAUCGCUAGUAAUCGCGAAUCAGCAUGUCGCGGUGAAUACGUUCUCGGGUCUUGUACACACCGCCCGUCACACCAUGGAAGUGGAUUGCACCAGAAGUAGAUAGUCUAACCUUCGGGAGGGCGUUUACCACGGUGUGCUUCAUGACUGGGGUGAAGUCGUAACAAGGUAGCCGUAGGGGAACCUGUGGCUGGAUCACCUCCUU
rnacentral:rRNA from 1 species